UGGUUGCUGCUCACAGGCAGAGAAACGCUGAAGUGUUCCUGAAAACUCGUCAAUUACAGGAAAAGCUGCAUGACUGCAUCUUUAGAGGAGAUGGUUUCGCUGGUUCCAAGGAUUCUGUUAAUGAGAAAACUCCACAGGCCAGCAUUCUGUAAGCUGGCUCCAGCAGCCCAGUUGACAGUGGCUGAGGCCAGUUCCUGAUCAUCCUGAGGAACACCAGGUCUGGGAGAGGGAACAGCACUGGCCAGGGGAGGGAGGAUUUUCCUUGGGCAAGUGGCUAAGCUGGAUGAUUUCAAGGAAUUGAGUGAAUCCAGACAGCAGGUGGGGAGAGAGAUUACCAUCUUACAACUUUUGAUCUCUUAGGGAUUCUUCCCUUUUUUUCCCCUACUUUUUAAGCACGUAAGUCAGAAGCCACACUACCUGUGAUUUUGGCCAAGUCAUUUUAUCUUUCUGUGCCUAUAUGUCAUCUGUCAAUGGGGAUAAUAAAAGCACCUGUCUAGAGUUGUUAUGAGGAUUACAUGAACAGUACCUGCUACAUAGGAAGUGCUAUCCAGGUAUUUGUUGUAAUUAUUUCUUACUUUGCUUACCUCCCUGGAAUUAGCCUGUUCUGCUGAUUUAUUCAUUUCCACAGCGAUUCUUUGAUAAAUUCAUGUGUUUAAUUUUUUUCUGGCCCCAGCUGUUGGAUACAGUCAGGAAAUAGGCAAGAAAUGCCAGCUCCGGAAGCAGAGGGAGAAUAAGAUAGUUAUUCUCUAGUGCCACCCAGGAAUAUGCCACUGAAGUGUUAAUGACAGACUCUUCCCUCUACAGGAGAGUUGUGCUAAACUUUGAUGUUUUGUGGUCUUCUGGGGAUUCUGGAAGUAAGGGACCUGAGGUGACUUAACAACAACUGCUGUAUGACAGGAUCAGGAUAAGUGAGUUGUGAAUGCUUAGCAGAGUCUGAUUAAGUUCAGAGUGAAGCUGGAGCA
rnacentral:lncRNA from 1 species